GCAGUUUUCUUUCCCAUCUGUAAUCUCCGGGUUACACCGUGGACUGGAAAAAACGGAGCGUUCCUGAGUGAAACGGAGGGUGCAAUCCUGUGUACGUUUACCUGGGCUCAUUAGAACUUACUUUGGAGUAGACGUGCCCAGGAUUGUGCUACAUGCAGCACAAAGUCUCUAAAAUCCACUGAAAAGUGGGGAGGUCCAAGGCCGAUCUGUUUACCUGGACAGAAUUACCUUUGUGGUCUAACCACCCAGGAACCUAUUUUUGACUGGAAAUUGAGUGUCCCAUCAUUCCUUGAAGCUCCCACCCCGGCCAAGAACAAGUAUAUGGAAGUACAGUGGGACCAGGGCCUUGGCUGGAUCAUCCAAUCCGUCUACUGGAAUAUCCCUGAGAAGAUUCAGAAAUCCAUUGGAUUCAAUCACUCUCCUGAAGUGAAUAAUCCAAAUGGACCCCACAACCCUUCAGGAGAGAAAUAAUGCUGCAAGUUCAUACCUCACCAGGAAAUGGCUACAAGCAUCACUGCAACUUUCCACAGUAUCUGAGGAGAUGGCACAUUUUCUGCGAGAGCAUCCCACUGUCUUCUGUCUACACCAGUGCAUGUUGCGCUGCUCUUCUGUCUGAGGGGUGUCGUUUUGGUAAGGUGGCAGUGUGCGAAUUUGCCUGCCAUAUGAACUCACUGGCAACAAACCAAUAUGGGUUAGUUACUGCCCAAACAACUCCUGUUGCACCUGAUAGAUGACUGGAUUCACCCCCCCCCCCCCCCUACAAUCCUCCUGCAGAUAUCCUAGAGGGCUCUGUGACAGGACCAAAUGCUCUCCUCCUGCCUUGAUCACGAGCCUUUUCUCACUCCAUGCAGCCAUUUUUCCCUCUCUCCACUCUCCCUCAGCCAGUGGCAGCCCCUCCAAAGUACCCAAGUGGCAAAUUGGAAGCUAUCAUUGGCUGCCGCAUUUUUAAAAAUGCACCCCAAAGUGCACAUUUUUUUUUGACUGUUUGAAUUUUUUUUAGUCAAACUUGUGCAAGUGUUGAGGAGGAAUGCAGAUCUAUGGGAUAAAAAUUAGAAGCCUCACCUAGGCAUUCCCUGCAGGAGUGGGUACAUGCUGCAAAGCAUAGCAGGUACCAGUCCUGGUCAUCAGUUCAGAGUGGUUCUAAAUUGGGUUUGGUUUUGUUUGUAUUUGAUUUACUUUGCUGUAACAUGGUAGCUGCCAAAGGCCAAGCUGGUGAUCAUUGCUUGCAAAAAGAGUAGGUGAUAUCCCCCGCCCCACCCUUGCAGCAAUAUCUUCAUGGAUUUGAGUGCCCCUCAUUGGUCCCAGUGCCUCCAACUUUUCUAUCAGUUCCUGAGAUUCUGGGCACUGAGGCAGGUGGAACCAUGCACCCACCUUUUCACUAACACUUCUGAGAGCUAUCAGAAGUAGGGGAAUCUUUGAAAACAGGGAGUUGGGCAGAGAUAAACAGAAGCAUUGACCAAGGAAGUAGACAUAUUUUGUGAUUUCUGAAAAAGAAAAAGUGAAAAGGGAGGAAAAGCUACAACAAACUGAAAGGGUUAGGGUUAGUGCCACUUGGGCAGUUGAGGGGCGGCUGUCACCAGUGAUAGCCCAGGGAAAAUUGACAAGACUUUUUGUCACUCUUGUCAAGUAGCUUGCUUGCUGAUUUGCAGUCCCCAUAAUAGAGGCAGCUGCCUGGGUGUGGAAGAUAUAAGCCAUAGUUGGUACAAGAAGUCCUAAAACAAACUAUGGGUUGUUUUAGGGUGGCUUGUUUUCCUUAAAUGAGUAACACUGCAGGAAGCAAUCUGAGUUCACAUGACAUGACAGCUUGCUGAGACUUAUCUGCUGUAAGACCAUCAGGUUGUGUGAACUCGAUGACUUACCUGGUAACUGAACCUAUCAUAGCUCCUUGUACAUUGGGCCAGUUUCCAUGAUCAAACAAGCUAGUCUGUCUCAAUUGACCAUGUGUGCUGGCUGCUAUUUCCCUGCUUAUCCAUCUGAGCAUGGCUUCUUAAUCAGAACUUUGCAGGCAUGGCUUGUCUGAGGGGCAAAGAACCCUCAAAGGACCCUACAAUGGGCUAUGGGCUUGAUCAAGCAAAUGGAUAGUGGCUUCAUUUGUGAUAGUGGGAGCAUGCUUUGGCAGUCUUUGCAGUUGGUACCACUUUAAUAAUUUACAUAUAGUAGUGCUCAAAUAUCUUUUGGACAUUCAAGAAAAUAGUGAAAUAAUGAAACUACUUAAACAAAAGUAGUAUUGCGCUAAACUACCAUAAUAUUAGAAUGUAACACACGCACUAUACCAAGUAGAAAGAAGAGGAAAAAACUCUUUAAAGGCUGCCACCAUUUUAGCAAUGAGGUUAAUGGAUGGGGUGACCAGAAAGUUUUUCUAAAUUAGCAUUACAUAGGCCUAUCUCUAUAGUGCUAUAUGAUUUCCCUCUAUAUAGAUUUAUAGUAUAGUACUAUACUUCUAUUAUGCAAAUUUUAGAAGCAUUAAAAAUCCUACCAAUAAUUCCAUCCAUUAAAUUCCUUGCUAAAGUGGUGGCGACUGGAAAGUUUUUUCUCCCAUUAAUCAACACACAGAUAUUGUAUUAUAGUAUUAUGGAGUAUAUUAUUUUAACAUAAUUUCACUUAAGUGGAGAUUCCAAGAUGGCGUCGGAAUGAGAUGGAUGUGAUUAACGGAGUUCAUUUAUCAUGCCGGUAUUACUCAGCAGCGAGUCAUGGGAGACUCAUCUAAGCCCUGUUGGGGUGAAGACAGAUUGCCUGGGCACGCCU